ACGCUCGACACCUACGAGAGGCAGCAGUGGGGAAUAUUGCACAAUGGGCGAAAGCCUGAUGCAGCGACGCCGCGUGAGGGAAGACGGUUUUCGGAUUGUAAACCUCUGUCUUAUGUGACGAAGGAAUGACGGUAACAUAGGAGGAAGCCACGGCUAACUACGUGCCAGCAGCCGGGUAAUCUGAGCGGGCUGGCAAGGC
rnacentral:rRNA from 1 species